rnacentral:rRNA from 1 species
GACGAACGCUGGCGGCGUGCUUAACACAUGCAAGUCGAACGGAAAGGCCCUGCUUUUGUGGGGUGCUCGAGUGGCGAACGGGUGAGUAACACGUGAGUAACCUGCCCUUGACUUUGGGAUAACUUCAGGAAACUGGGGCUAAUACCGGAUAGGAGCUCCUGCUGCAUGGUGGGGGUUGGAAAGUUUCGGCGGUUGGGGAUGGACUCGCGGCUUAUCAGCUUGUUGGUGGGGUAGUGGCUUACCAAGGCUUUGACGGGUAGCCGGCCUGAGAGGGUGACCGGCCACAUUGGGACUGAGAUACGGCCCAGACUCCUACGGGAGGCAGCAGUGGGGAAUAUUGCACAAUGGGCGGAAGCCUGAUGCAGCAACGCCGCGUGCGGGAUGACGGCCUUCGGGUUGUAAACCGCUUUCGCCUGUGACGAAGCGUGAGUGACGGUAAUGGGUAAAGAAGCACCGGCUAACUACGUGCCAGCAGCCGCGGUGAUACGUAGGGUGCGAGCGUUGUCCGGAUUUAUUGGGCGUAAAGGGCUCGUAGGUGGUUGAUCGCGUCGGAAGUGUAAUCUUGGGGCUUAACCCUGAGCGUGCUUUCGAUACGGGUUGACUUGAGGAAGGUAGGGGAGAAUGGAAUUCCUGGUGGAGCGGUGGAAUGCGCAGAUAUCAGGAGGAACACCAGUGGCGAAGGCGGUUCUCUGGGCCUUUCCUGACGCUGAGGAGCGAAAGCGUGGGGAGCGAACAGGCUUAGAUACCCUGGUAGUCCACGCUGUAAACGGUGGGUACUAGGUGUGGGGUCCAGUCCACGGGUUCCGUGCCGUAGCUAACGCUUUAAGUACCCCGCCUGGGGAGUACGGCCGCAAGGCUAAAACUCAAAGGAAUUGACGGGGCCCCGCACAAGCGGCGGAGCAUGCGGAUUAAUUCGAUGCAACGCGUAGAACCUUACCUGGGUUUGACAUGGAUCGGGAGCGCUCAGAGAUGGGUGUGCCUCUUUUGGGGUCGGUUCACAGGUGGUGCAUGGCUGUCGUCAGCUCGUGUCGUGAGAUGUUGGGUUAAGUCCCGCAACGAGCGCAACCCUUGUUCACUGUUGCCAGCACGUUAUGGUGGGGACUCAGUGGAGACCGCCGGGGUCAACUCGGAGGAAGGUGGGGAUGACGUCAAGUCAUCAUGCCCCUUAUGUCCAGGGCUUCACGCAUGCUACAAUGGCUGGUACAGAGAGUGGCGAGCCUGUGAGGGUGAGCGAAUCUCGGAAAGCCGGUCUCAGUUCGGAUUGGGGUCUGCAACUCGACCUCAUGAAGUCGGAGUCGCUAGUAAUCGCAGAUCAGCAACGCUGCGGUGAAUACGUUCCCGGGGCU